GAGCCGCCGCGGGCUCCGAGGAGUCGGCCGAGCUGCUCCCGCGCCCUGGCCGGACGUUUGAAACUAUUGCUUUGCUGAAAACAUCUGACUGCCAGGCUAGGAUGUGACACUUAAGGGACUUACCAAUUUGGGAUUCUUCCAGGAGCUGAAAACUGAUUGCAAAUAUGAAACAGAUUUCACUACAGGACUUGAACCCUACAUUAAAAAACAACAAGCUCCCCAAAAUAAUUGAAAAAGAUCUUCACCAAAGAGUAGCUGCAAUGUGAAUGGCAGGAUAUGAAGCAAGUAAGAGAUGGUGAAAAGAUUAUCUUAAGCUUGGAAUUAAGUGAUGAAAGGGACCUUCGAAAUUAUCAACUCUAAAUACUUCUUUACAGGUGAGUGCCAGUGAGGAUAUGACGUCGCCAGUCUUAGUCACAUUGCUAAUUUCAGAGGCAAGAGUGAAACAAAGUUCUCCUGCUUCCAGUU
rnacentral:lncRNA from 1 species